UGACUUGAGNGCAGAAGGGGAGAGUGGAAUUCCAUGUGUAGCGGUGAAAUGCGUAGAUAUAUGGAGGAACACCAGUGGCGAAAGCGGCUCUNUGGUCUGUCACUGACGCUGAGGCUCGAAAGCGUGGGUAGCGAACAGGAUUAGAUACCCUGGUAGUNCACGCCGUAAACGAUGAGUGCUAGGUGUUAGGCCCUUUCCGGGGCUUAGUGCCGGAGCUAACGCAAUAAGCACUCCGCCUGGGGAGUACGACCGCAAGGUUGAAACUCAAAGGAAUUGACGGGGGCCCGCACAAGCGGUGGAGCAUGUGGUUUAAUUCGAAGCAACGCGAAGAACCUUACCAGGUCUUGACAUCCCGAUGCUAUUCUUAGAGAUAGGAAGUUACUUCGGUACAUCGGAGACAGGUGGUGCAUGGUUGUCGUCAGCUCGUGUCGUGAGAUGUUGGGUNNNNNNNNNNNNNCGAGCGCAACCCUUAUUGUUAGUUGCCAUCAUUAAGUUGGGCACUCUAGCGAGACUGCCGGUAAUAAACCGGAGGAAGGUGGGGAUGACGUCAAAUCAUCAUGCCCCUUAUGACCUGGGCUACACACGUGCUACAAUGGUCGGUACAACGAGUUGCGAGCCGGUGACGGCAAGCUAAUCUCUGAAAGCCGAUCUCAGUUCGGAUUGGAGGCUGCAACUCGCCUCCANGAAGUCGGAAUCGCUAGUAAUCGCGGAUCAGCACGCCGCGGUGAAUACGUUCCCGGGCCU
rnacentral:rRNA from 1 species